GUCUACAGCCAUACCACCCUGACCACACCCGAUUUCAUCUGAUCUCAGAAGCUAAGCAGGGUAGGGCCCGGUUAGUACUUGGAUGGGAGAAACCCCCUAGGGACUGUCUUUC
ensembl:rRNA 5S_rRNA 5S ribosomal RNA